rnacentral:rRNA from 1 species
UCAGGAUGAACGCUGGCGGCGUGCUUAACACAUGCAAGUCGAACGAAGCAGUUAUACGAUCCCUCGGGGUGACGAUUACUGACUGAGUGGCGGACGGGUGAGUAACGCGUGGGUAACCUGCCUUGUACAGGGGGACAACAGUUGGAAACGACUGCUAAUACCGCAUAAGCGCACAGCUUCGCAUGAAGCAGUGUGAAAAGUAUUUUCGGUACAAGAUGGACCCGCGUCUGAUUAGGCUAGUUGGUGAGGUAACGGCCCACCAAGGCGACGAUCAGUAGCCGACCUGAGAGGGUGACCGGCCACAUUGGGACUGAGACACGGCCCAAACUCCUACGGGAGGCAGCAGUGGGGAAUAUUGCACAAUGGGCGAAAGCCUGAUGCAGCGAACCGCCGCGUGAGCGAAGAAGUAUUUCGGUAUGUAAAGCUCUAUCAGCAGGGAAGAUAAUGACGGUACCUGACUAAGAAGCACCGGCUAAAUACGUGCCAGCCGCAGC